AACGAACGCUGGCGGCAUGUCUAACACAUGCAAGUCGAACGGGUACCUUCGGGUGCUAGUGGCGCACGGGUGCGUAACGCGUGGGAAUCUGCCCUUGGGUUCGGAAUAACUCAGCGAAAGCUGUGCUAAUACCGGAUGAUGUCGAAAGACCAAAGAUUUAUCGCCCGAGGAUGAGCCCGCGUUGGAUUAGCUAGUUGGUGGGGUAAAGGCCUACCAAGGCGACGAUCCAUAGCUGGUCUGAGAGGAUGAUCAGCCACACUGGGACUGAGACACGGCCCAGACUCCUACGGGAGGCAGCAGUGGGGAAUAUUGGACAAUGGGCGAAAGCCUGAUCCAGCAAUGCCGCGUGAGUGAUGAAGGCCUUAGGGUUGUAAAGCUCUUUUACCCGGGAUGAUAAUGACAGUACCGGGAGAAUAAGCUCCGGCUAACUCCGUG
rnacentral:rRNA from 1 species